rnacentral:rRNA from 1 species
GAGGCGGGCUGGACCUCUCGGGGUUACAGCCUUGCUGAAUUAUUCACCCUUGUCUUUUGCGUACUUCUUGUUUCCUUGGUGGGUUCGCCCACCACUAGGACAAACAUAAACCUUUUGUAAUUGCAAUCAGCGUCAGUAACAAAUUAAUAAUUACAACUUUCAACAACGGAUCUCUUGGUUCUGGCAUCGAUGAAGAACGCAGCGAAAUGCGAUAAGUAGUGUGAAUUGCAGAAUUCAGUGAAUCAUCGAAUCUUUGAACGCACAUUGCGCCCUUUGGUAUUCCAAAGGGCAUGCCUGUUCGAGCGUCAUUUGUACCCUCAAGCUUUGCUUGGUGUUGGGCGUCUUGUCUCUAGCUUUGCUGGAGACUCGCCUUAAAGUAAUUGGCAGCCGGCCUACUGGUUUCGGAGCGCAGCACAAGUCGCACUCUCUAUCAGCAAAGGUCUAGCAUCCAUUAAGCCUUUUUUUCAACUUUUGACCUCGGAUCAGGUAGGGAUACCCGCUGAACUUAAGCAUAUCAUAG